GGUGUCAGCGGCGGUUGAAUUGCCAUGGCAAUGCGGUGGGCGCGCGCUUGUCGUGUUGGUCUCUUGGGAGGUAGCGGGGCUAGGCCGGGCGGGUAUCCGCCUCUCCCAGCUUAGGUGAGCGUCCCCGGGCGCCUCCGGAGCGCCGCGGCCGCAUGCAGUUCGUCGUGGCGGGGAGCCGGAGCCUGACCGGGGUUCCAGCGCUCGGGCCGUAGCCUUGGCUCCUGGACUUUCCCUGGCUCCGCCGCCACGUGGGAGCUGAGGCUCUGGGGCUUCCGCCUCCGGCGCGCGAUUAUUUCUCUAGAACAGUUUUCAUUUUUAAAAUUUGUAAAGCGCUUUUGCCUGUGUGAUUUCCUCUGGGUUUUUUUUUUUUUUCUUCCUUUUUGUAGAGACGGAAUUGGCGGCGGGGGCGGGGGGUCGAUGUCUCACUUUUUUGCCCAGGCUGGUCUCGAACUCCUGGCUUCAAGGGAUCCUCCUGCCUCGGCCUCUUAAAGUGCUGGGAUUACAGGCGUGAGCCACCGCCCCCGGCCGCCUCUGAGUUUCCAGCCUCGUUGGCCCUCCAGCCUUUUAACCUGUUGGGCCUAGGAUCAGGAAAGGUUUGUUGAAUGGGGAACUAAGAAGUGAAUUCGUUCGUUCGACAAACGUUUCCUGAGCAGCCGCUGGGUGCUAGGCGCAGUGCCAGCGCGGAAUGUCCAGGGAGACCUGGUGCCCAAAGCUUGGACCCAUCGUGAGAAAUGAGAAGCAGAUACAAAGCAGUGUGGGAGUGCAGAGGAGACAAAGCAAGCCUCAUCAGGCCCAUUGCUUGCUCUGCUCUCCCUUGUACUUACCAGUGCUUGACAAUAUACAGUUAUUUACUAGCUUGGUUAUUGACUUCCUACCCAGCACUCAGUUUUAUUCACUGCUGUAUCCUCAGUGCCUAGGACGAUGCUUGGAACGUGGUAAGUGCUCCUAUUGGCGGGAAGAAUAAAUCCGGAAGAGCAGGACCAGUGGACUUGCUACAUAAUCUGUAGUCUUGGAGCCGCACAGGGUUGGUGGUACCCUCGAGCACACCAGACUUGCAGAAAAAGCAUACUCCAGAGGAAGCUGAGGCAUGCCUGCUCGAGAGCCAGCUGUUCCAUGUGCAAUUUUCCUCUGAUAGUUUCUGGUCACUGUUGCCACGGUGAUAAUGACUGGGCUAUGUCAUUAUCUAUCCGCCAACAGUAAGAGAAGCUUUGCAGUCGAGAUAUUGUUUAGCAGAUGGAGUGUUUUCUGUUGAACACUAAGUACUGCCACAAGUUACUUUUUUUUUUUUAAACUUUGAGUAUUUUUUUACAAUGUUGCUGGAGGUGAUCUGUUUAUGCUUUGAGAGUGUUCGAAUUUAAAAUCAGAAAAUCAUGUCAGUGAGUGAGUCUUUCAAAUAAUCCUUCGGCAUGAAACCUGAGCCUAGUAAACUAUGAAAGUAAACUCGGCACAUUACCCGAAAGUCUCAAUGUCAUAUUUUCACCCCCAUCAAUAUUAUUGAUGAUUGCUCAUUUUCUAAUGUGGGACCUGAAAUUUACCAGGUGCUUAAAGAAUCUUUUUGUUUUUCAGAUUCAUUGAUUCCAGGUAAAUCAGAGGAACAAGCAACAUGAACAGAAAUAUGUAGAAAAAGCUAUUAUGCAGAAGCAUAAUUGUUGUUUCAGAAGUCCAGCAUCUGGUGCACUUAACAAUAGAGAAUAUAUUAAACUCUUUCCAAAA
rnacentral:lncRNA from 10 species